rnacentral:rRNA from 1 species
AUUGAACGCUGGCGGCAGGCUUAACACAUGCAAGUCGAGCGGGCGAGGUUGCUUCGGUAACUUAGCUAGCAGCGGACGGGUGAGUAAUGCUUAGGAAUCUGCCUAUUAGUGGGGAACAACAUUCCGAAAGGGAUGCUAAUACCGCAUACGUCCUACGGGAGAAAGCAGGGGCUCUUUAUGACCUUGCGCUAAUAGAUGAGCCUAAGUCGGAUUAGCUAGUUGGUGGGGUAAAGGCCUACCAAGGCGACGAACUGUAGCGGGUCUGAGAGGAUGAUCCGCCACACUGGGACUGAGACACGGCCCAGACUCCUACGGGAGGCAGCAGUGGGGAAUAUUGGACAAUGGGGGGAACCCUGAUCCAGCCAUGCCGCGUGUGUGAAGAAGGCCUUUUGGUUGUAAAGCACUUUAAGUGGGGAGGAGGCUUACCUGGUUAAUACCUGGGCUAAGUGGACGUUACCCACAGAAUAAGCACCGGCUAACUCUGUGCCAGCCGCCGCGGUAAUAC